rnacentral:rRNA from 1 species
UAAGGAAUAUUGGUCAAUGGACGCAAGUCUGAACCAGCCAUGCCGCGUGAAGGAUUAAGGCCCUCUGGGUUGUAAACUUCUUUUAUAGGGGAAGAAAUGUGACGGUUCUCCGUCACUUGACGGUACCCUGGGAAUAAGCACCGGCUAACUCCGUGCCAGCAGCCGCGGUAAUACGGAGGGUGCAAGCGUUAUCCGGAUUCACUGGGUUUAAAGGGUGCGUAGGUGGGCAGAUAAGUCAGUGGUGAAAUCUUCCGGCUUAACCGGGAAACUGCCGUUGAGACUAUUUGUCUUGAAUAUUGCGGAGGUAAGCGGAAUAUGUCAUGUAGCGGUGAAAUGCUUAGAUAUGACAUAGAACACCAAUUACGAAGGCAGCUUACUACACAAUCAUUGACACUGAGGCACGAAAGCGUGGGUAGCGAACA